UACAGAGGGGGCAAGCGUUGUUCGGAAUUACUGGGCGUAAAGGGCGCGUAGGCGGCCAGCACAAGUCAGUUGUGAAAUCUCCGAGCUUAACUCGGAAAGGUCAACUGAUACUGCGGGGCUAGAGUGCAGAAGGGGCAACUGGAAUUCUCGGUGUAGCGGUGAAAUGCGUAGAUAUCGAGAGGAACACCUGCGGCGAAGGCGGGUUGCUGGGCUGACACUGACGCUGAAGCGCGAAAGCUAGGGGAGCGAACGGG
rnacentral:rRNA from 1 species